GAUGAACGCUAGCGGCAGGCUUAAUACAUGCAAGUCGAGGGGUAGCAAGAUUGUAGCAAUACAAUUGUUGACGACCGGCAAACUGGUGCGGAACACGUACACAACCUUCCUACAAGUGGGGAAUAGCCCAGAGAAAUUGGGAUUAAUACCCCGUAACCUAGCGAUGUAGCAUCACAUUGCUAUUAUAGCUUCUGCGCUUGUUGAUGGGUGUGCGGCUGAUUAGAUAGUUGGUGGGGUAACGGCCCACCAAGUCUACGAUCAGUAGUUGAUGUGAGAGCAUGAUCAGCCACACGGGCACUGAGACACGGGCCCUACUCCUACGGGAGGCAGCAGUAAGGAAUAUUGGACAAUGGACGCAAGUCUGAUCCAGCCAUGCCGCGUGAAGGAUUAAGGUCCUCUGGAUUGUAAACUUCUUUUAUAAGGGACGAAAAAAGGUCUUUCUAGAUCGUCUGACGGUACCUUAUGAAUAAGCACCGGCUAACUCCGUGCCAGCCGCCGCGGUAACAC
rnacentral:rRNA from 1 species